GACGAACGCUGGCGGCGCGCCUAACACAUGCAAGUCGAACGAGCAAGAGAGAGCUUGCUUUCUCGAGCGAGUGGCGAACGGGUGAGUAACGCGUGAGGAACCUGCCUCAAAGAGGGGGACAACAGUUGGAAACGACUGCUAAUACCGCAUAAGCCCACGGUGCCGCAUGGCACAGAGGGAAAAGGAGCAAUCCGCUUUGAGAUGGCCUCGCGUCCGAUUAGCUAGUUGGUGAGGUAACGGCCCACCAAGGCAACGAUCGGUAGCCGGACUGAGAGGUUGAACGGCCACAUUGGGACUGAGACACGGCCCAGACUCCUACGGGAGGCAGCAGUGGGGAAUAUUGCACAAUGGGGGAAACCCUGACGCAGCGACGCCGCGUGGAGGAAGAAGGUCUUCGGAUUGUAAACUCCUGUUGUUGGGGAAGAUAAUGACGGUACCCAACAAGGAAGUGACGGCUAACUACGUGCCAGCAGCCGCGGUAAAACGUAGGUCACAAGCGUUGUCCGGAAUUACUGGGUGUAAAGGGAGCGCAGGCGGGAAGACAAGUUGGAAGUGAAAUCUAUGGGCUCAACCCAUAAACUGCUUUCAAAACUGUUUUUCUUGAGUAGUGCAGAGGUAGGCGGAAUUCCCGGUGUAGCGGUGGAAUGCGUAGAUAUCGGGAGGAACACCAGUGGCGAAGGCGGCCUACUGGGCACCAACUGACGCUGAGGCUCGAAAGUGUGGGUAGCAAACAGGAUUAGAUACCCUGGUAGUCCACACCGUAAACGAUGAUUACUAGGUGUUGGAGGAUUGACCCCUUCAGUGCCGCAGUUAACACAAUAAGUAAUCCACCUGGGGAGUACGACCGCAAGGUUGAAACUCAAAGGAAUUGACGGGGGCCCGCACAAGCAGUGGAGUAUGUGGUUUAAUUCGACGCAACGCGAAGAACCUUACCAAGUCUUGACAUCCCUUGACAGGCAUAGAAAUAUGUUUUCUCUUCGGAGCAAGGAGACAGGUGGUGCAUGGUUGUCGUCAGCUCGUGUCGUGAGAUGUUGGGUUAAGUCCCGCAACGAGCGCAACCCUUAUGGUCAGUUACUACGCAAGAGGACUCUGGCCAGACUGCCGUUGACAAAACGGAGGAAGGUGGGGAUGACGUCAAAUCAUCAUGCCCUUUAUGACUUGGGCUACACACGUACUACAAUGGCGUUAAACAAAGAGAAGCAAGACCGCGAGGUGGAGCAAAACUCAGAAACAACGUCCCAGUUCGGACUGCAGGCUGCAACUCGCCUGCACGAAGUCGGAAUUGCUAGUAAUCGUGGAUCAGCAUGCCACGGUGAAUACGUUCCCGGGCCUUGCACU
rnacentral:rRNA from 1 species